UCAGUUGUGAAAGUUUGCGGCUCAACCGUAAAAUUGCAGUUGAUACUGGAUGUCUUGAGUGCAGUUGAGGCAGGCGGAAUUCGUGGUGUAGCGGUGAAAUGCUUAGAUAUCACGAAGAACUCCGAUUGCGAAGGCAGCCUGCUAAGCUGCAACUGACAUUGAGGCUCGAAAGUGUGGGUAUCAAACAGGAUUAGAUACCCUGGUAGUCCACACGGUAAACGAUGAAUACUCGCUGUUUGCGAUAUACGGCAAGCGGCCAAGCGAAAGCGUUAAGUAUUCCACCUGGAGAGUACGCCGGCAACGGUGAAACUCAAAGGAAUUGACGGGGGCCCGCACAAGCGGAGGAACAUGUGGUUUAAUUCGAUGAUACGCGAGGAACCUUACCCGGGCUUAAAUUGCACUCGAAUGAUCCGGAAACGGUUCAGCUAGCAAUAGCGAGUGUGAAGGUGCUGCAUGGUUGUCGUCAGCUCGUGCCGUGAGGUGUCGGCUUAAG
rnacentral:rRNA from 1 species